GACUCUUUGCAUUGGAUCACUCGGCUUGUGUGUCGAUGCAGACCGCAGCCAACUGUGUGAAUUAAUUUGCAUCGCAACCCACUUUGAAUAUCGACCUUUGGACGCAAAUUGCAGCCGUAGGCUUGCCUGUGGCCACGUCUGGCCAAGGACCG
rnacentral:rRNA from 1 species